UACGUAGGGAGCAAGCGUUGUCCGGAAUUACUGGGCGUAAAGGGCGCGUAGGUGGGAAAUUAAGUCAUGGGUGUAAACUUAGGGCUCAACCUUAAGAUUGCCUAUGAAACUGAUUUUCUUGAGGGCAGGAGAGGAAAGUGGAAUUCCUAGUGUAGCGGUGAAAUGCGUAGAUAUUAGGAGGAACACCAGUGGCGAAGGCGACUUUCUGGACUGUCCCUGACACUGAGGCGCGAAAGCUAGGGGAGCGAACGGG
rnacentral:rRNA from 1 species